rnacentral:lncRNA from 1 species
AGGUCUAUCUCCCUAAAAAUAGUUUGCUUUAGAGCACCAAAUAGUUUGCUUUAGAGCACCAACAGAAUCGUGGCUCUACUAUCCUUAGAAAGGACUCCCGCAUCCUCCUUGGUUGUCCACCAUUGCACCAACUCGGUGUUUGCUAUCGGUAUAAAGCUUGCCUAUUUCAUUGCUUUAGGAUCACACCCAUACCUGCCUUGCCAGCACACAUCCAAGC